UACGUAGGGAGCGAGCGUUGUCCGGAUUCAUUGGGCGUAAAGAGCUCGUAGGCGGCUUGGUAAGUCGGAUGUGAAACCUCCAGGCUCAACCUGGAGUCGCCAUCCGAUACUGCCAUGGCUAGAGUCCGGUAGGGGCCCACGGAAUUCCUGGUGUAGCGGUGAAAUGCGCAGAUAUCAGGAGGAACACCGAUGGCGAAGGCGGGUCUCUGGGCCAAUACUGACGCUGAGGAGCGAAAGCGUGGGGAGCGAACAGG
rnacentral:rRNA from 1 species